CUUGGGCCAAAUACAUUUCUUUCUGUUGAAAACAUACUUGAAGCUGUAGAAUUUAAGUAUCAAGGCCAAGGCUUCAAUUCUCAAAUCCUGGAAUUUCAAGUUUUCUUUAAUGAUCACACUCCAAAUGAUUUUAACAUGCUUUUCAAAUCCCUCCCUCAAAGCAGGCAAUACUAUGCUGCGGGUGUGCCUGGUUCUUUCUGUGGUCGUAUAUUUGCUAAUGCUUCCAUUCACCUUGUUCACUCUUCUUAUGCCCUUCAUUGGCUUUCUAGAGUACCAAAAGAGAUAGUGGACAUAGACAGUCCUGCUUGGAACAAAGGACGAAUCGAUUACUCAAAUUCCACAGAGGAAGUAGUAAGGGCUUAUGAAGCUCAAUAUGCCGAGGACAUGGAGUGCUUCCUGCAUGCCAGGGCACAAGAGAUUGUGUAUGGAGGAUUGAUGGUACUUAUCAUUCCAGGCCGCCCCAAUGGUACCCCUCAUUCUCUGACUCUGUUAAAUGCGGUCCAUCAACUUUUGGGAUCUUGCCUCAUGGACUUGGCUAGGAAGGUAAGCAACUAUCGACUGCUCUUAAGUUUUAUAGAACACCCCAAUAUCUCCCUUGGAAGAAAUGACAGCUAUGUGUGUUUUCUUUAUGCAGGGAGUAGUUAGGGAAGAGAAAGUAGAUUCUUUUAAUAUACCUAUCUAUAACACGUCUCCUCAAGAACUGGAAGCUGCCGUAGAGAAAAAUGGUUGUUUUAGCACAGAGAAAAUGGAAAACUUACCUCGUAUCUCGGCACUUGACAUUGACAAUGUUACUAGACGUGCCCAACUAAUUGCAUAUCAUAUUAGAGCUACCACAGAGGGACUCAUCAAGCAGGAAUUUGGAGAUGAAAUCUUAGAUGAGCUCUUUGGCUUGUAUAGUAAGAAACUUGAACAGCAACCAUCAAUCUUUGAGUCAGGGAAGGCAAUUAACUUUCUUCUUGUGCUCAAACGCAAUGCAAAUUGA
rnacentral:lncRNA from 1 species